rnacentral:rRNA from 1 species
GACCCUAUAGAGUUUUAUAUUUUAUAGAAUUUAUUUUUUUUAGAAUUUAUAAAUUGAAUUUUAUUAAAUAUUUGGUUGGGGUGAUUGAAAAAUUAAAAAAACUUUUUUUAUAUUAAGUCAUUUAUUUAUGAAUAUUUGAUCCAUUAUUAGUGAUUAUAAGACUAAAUUACCUUAGGGAUAACAGCGUAAUUUUUUUUGAGAGUUCAAAUCGAAAAAAAAGAUUGCGACCUCGAUGUUGGAUUAAAAUAAAUAUUUGGUGUAGAAGCUAAAUUAAUUGGGUCUGUUCGACCUUUAAAAUUUUACAUGAUCUGA